ACUGUGUUUGGAGUAGGAGGAUUUAUCAAGCAUGAGCUCACUGCGCAUCCUGACCAGAGAUGCUUCCUAUUUCUUUUCUUGGAGAACAAGGAGGGAGAGGAUGAGAAAAGUUUCCCUGUUCAUCUAAAUGUUACUAAGAGUACCAAGUUAUGAAAACAGCCAUUUUAAGAACUGUUUGGAAAUGGGUAGCUCCAGGAACCCUGCUGACUAUCCUGCGGGUCGGGACACUCUGGCGCCCAACGUGGGGCACCUGUGGAGUGACUGAGAGAAAGGAGGCUGUAGGAAGAAAGGAGGAAGGCUCUCCACAUACAGCUCCUGGAGCAGAGUGGAUUUGGUCGAAGCACGGUUGACCUGCUGGCACGCUCAGCCAGGGGAAAAUCUCCACGGCAACUACAUCUCAGAAGGAUGCCGAAGGAACACGCUAGCUGCCAAAGUAUGCUAAUGUUGAGACAAAGAAUGAUGCUGAUUAUAAUCAUUGAAAAUGGCCACAGUUCUUAACACCUUUGGAUGCCUCUAAUGCUGACACCAUGGACAUCUACAGACUCAACAUCCCUCUUUGCACAGCAAUUUUAUUUAGCUAAAAAUUGGACAAAUUAUAAACAGAUCAAAGGGGAGAUAUUGGCUACUGCUGA